UACAGUCACAUUGAAACACUGGUUCCUGUAUGAUCACCAAAGUUAAGCAAUGGUGAGCCUGGUCAGUAUCUACAUGGGUGACCGCAUGGGAAUCACAGGUGCUGUAAG